rnacentral:rRNA from 1 species
GACGAACGCUGGCGGCGUGCUUAACACAUGCAAGUCGAACGAAGAGCGAUGGAAGCUUGCUUCUAUCAAUCUUAGUGGCGAACGGGUGAGUAACGCGUAAUCAACCUGCCCUUCAGAGGGGGACAACAGUUGGAAACGACUGCUAAUACCGCAUACGAUCUAACCUUGGCAUCGAGGAUGGAUGAAAGGUGGCCUCUAUUUAUAAGCUAUCACUGAAGGAGGGGAUUGCGUCUGAUUAGCUAGUUGGAGGGGUAACGGCCCACCAAGGCGAUGAUCAGUAGCCGGUCUGAGAGGAUGAACGGCCACAUUGGGACUGAGACACGGCCCAGACUCCUACGGGAGGCAGCAGUGGGGAAUCUUCCGCAAUGGACGAAAGUCUGACGGAGCAACGCCGCGUGAGUGAUGACGGCCUUCGGGUUGUAAAGCUCUGUUAAUCGGGACGAAAGGCCUUCUUGCGAAUAGUGAGAAGGAAUUGACGGACCGGAA